UCAUGCUCUGUCUCUCUCUGUCUCAAAAAUAAAUAAACGUUAAAAAAAAUAAAAAAAAUAAAAAGAAUUUAGCUAGAUUGUUGUGGGACACUUUCUCAUUCUCCAGCAGGUUACUUUCAUCAGCAUGGUAGACCAGUUAGGAUCCAAAUACUUAUGGAUGAUUUUCCAUAGGAGUUUGUCUGUCUCAAAGAUCUCUCCCUGACAGGGACAAUAUUGAUAUUCCUUUAUAGCAACUAAGAUUCACCACAAAAUACUUUGAGACCUUGUACUGUCUGAAUGACUACAGCUGGCAUAAUAAACUGGGAGGGGCUGAGUCACAAGGCAGCCCGACUGUUGCUAUUUCUCCUUAAUUAGCAUAAUAUGCCUUGCUUCAUAACCUCCACACUGAACUCACUAAAGCUCUAAGGAUUUCCCAGGCUCCUGAGUAUGACAAUUGAAAAUCCCUUCCUUUCAAGCUAGAUGUCAGUGUGUUUCUCUAGGACUGUGGUCCGACCAAGGUCAGAAUGUUCUUCGAACCCAGAAUAGGUCUUUGUACUAGUUGACACAGACAUAUUUUUGUGCUGAUUCCUCAAACCCCAAUUUCCAAAGAGUGCUGAGAAGAAGGCUGGAUGAUACCUGCAUAAGCAGGUGUGUGUGGAGAGGAACCCUUAGCUAGGUAACCUGCAUCUUUUAUAACAGGCAACGUUACCACCCUUGCUCCAGGGGAGAAGACUACCUGUACCUUCUAGGACUGUUCACUACACAAACACUGGAUAGUCCAGAACAAAGGGCAGUCAGUGCCUCAGAAAUAUGAAGGUCUCAUGGAGAAUUGUUUCCCAAUUAUUAAUGGGAAAAAAAGUCUAGAAAUUCAGCUGAUUUUUAAAGUCCCUAAAAUACUGUCCAAUUUGCCUUUUUAAAGACAGUCCAACUAGUAUUCCUUUCCACAUACUCUGCCUGCAGGUAAACUGGUCUUUUUACUUCUUGAACAUAUCCAAUAUUGACCCAACUUCUAGGUUACAGAAAACAAACAAAAACGACAAAAAACUUCUUGCAAAUAAAAAUUAACACCACAAAUCUAAAUUCAUACUUUUAUUUUGUACAUCCUUCACUGUGAUGAUCCUUUUACACUAUGCUUAUCUAGGCUUUUGACAGGUUACCUUGAAAGUGCUUUAAAUCCUUUACCAUAUACAUUUACUGUUUCCAAAACAAAAUAGUGAGCUUCUUGGGAGUGUAAACUGUAUUUUUCCAUGAGUCAAUAUUCCUAAUUCGAUUCCUCUUAACAAAUGCUACCUACUCACUAAUAUAUAAUGCCACUGUCUUUAAGUCCCUGAUAAAUAUAUUCUAUAUGAGGAGGGAACUAAAGAUUCCUAUUUUUCCCACUGAGAUCCAGAAUUAAACAGUCAACAGACCAAAGUAGACCUCUGUAAUUCAAAUGUCACACUGCAAUUUCAAAUUGGCAGCCUUCCUUGAGUUUCAUUUUACUUGCCAAGGAAACAAUGAAGUGCUUAUUCUGAUGCCAGCAGAACUGUGGGAAGGGACAGAGAGAUUUGUAUUUCCCUGAAUUUAUAAUCUGCAGAAGAGAACAACUACAGGAACCAAAGUGGCACAUGUUAUACGAUUACUUUAAUAAUUCUAUAAUUCUACAACUAAUCGAAUCUUGGAAAAUACAAAGUGAUGCAUACGAUUGCAAAAAUGCGAACCAGAAGUUAUAGAAAUGAAAAGGUAAAAUCAAUACAAACAUCAUUGAUGCUACUUCUAUGGAUUAUCUAUGAAUUGAUGAUAAACACUAUCUCGAUUUUACAAUUUCCUUUCAGAGAGAAUAAGUCUACUCCUUUCCUCACGGCUGUCUGGUGGUUCGUGGCAGCAAUUCUUUCUGACAAAGUCCCUGCAACACCAGGACUCAAAGUUAUGACUAAAAAGAAGUCAUGUCAAUGUGAGUGACCAAAUUCUUAUUGCUGAAGUCCAAAGAUUUUCAAGGAAUGAAGCAAUUCAAGCAAGCAACUCCCCUCUGUCAAUGUGACAAGUUCCAAGUUAGAAUCAACCUUGGAUGAUUUGACCCAAACCAGAAGCUAUCUAUCCUUCAGUAGACAAUGCUGAUCUAAGCGCUGGCUCUGGAAAUUAGUUGGAUGAACUCGGUUGUCCUGCAUUUAAUUAGAGGUUUUCCUGGCUGGCCCAGGGAAUGUCACAGGGGAUAUUGUGAAAUAAAAAUGAUUCUAACUUUGAAAUCACAAGAUGAUUCCAUAAAUGAUAAGAAAAGUGAGAAGCCAAGUGAUUGAUUACACAAUUCAGAAUUAACAAUGAUGUGUAAAUCAAUACAUUGUUCAAUUACAUAUAAAAUUAACUCAGUUAUUCAAGGACCAUUUACCCACUGGAUAACCAAUAUUGGUCCUUCUCACCUUCAUUAUGUCUGUUGGCCAUUUUACUUUUCAUUAACAAAGAGGGAGAGAAUAAAUAAAAAAUAGGGGCAUACCACUUAAAUUGAUUUAACACUAUUUGGUACUAUUAGUAAAAAAAUUAAAUCAAGGAGAUAAAAUAUUUACGCAAGAGUGGAUUUUCAUUAUUUGUACAGCUUCAUUUCUCCUAUGCACAGAAAAUUAACAGUUGGUUUUAACUGAGCAUGUUUUGGCAACACACAAGAAAGGGAGAAUUAUAAGUCAGAGAGGAGCAUGAGAAAGAGACAAAGAAAAAGACUCCUUGACCUUUUCAGUAAAGUGAAGGUUACUUGGAAUAACAUAGUAGCAAGCACCUGAUUUCUAUUUCUACAACUUGAAGACAAAAGAAAAAGUAACCUAGAGCUAAACUCUAAUUUAAAAAACAAAAUCAUAUGCUCAAUUAUUCUUCUCUAAAGUCCUGUCUUCACAGGAUACUUAGGGAUUAUCUACCUAGAAUAAGAUUAAUUCUCCAAGCACUUGAUUCCCCCAUUAUUAGAAAUACGGAAUAAAGAAUCACAUAACCUAAGUAUUACAAGAAACUCCAUCACUCAAAACAGGAAUCCUCUUUCCAACAUCUCUUGUUCCCCAGUUAUUCUGUGUGUGCCUGAACAAAGACAGACCCAUCAGCCCACUCCAUUCAAAAACAGAAAAGUGUUGUAAAAAGUCCCAACUUUGGAGACAGGAAGACUCUAUUCCCAUACUAAAUCUGCCAACUACUGGCUGUAUGACUAGAAAAAGCCUCAUUUGCUUUGUUUGCCUCAUUUUUAGAAAAAAAAAAAAGUCUCUUCUGUGUGCUGUAAAGAUUAUAUGAAAUCAUCCAGGGAAAUGCACCUUGCAAAGUGCCAGGCACUGAAUAUUUAUUUACCUUCCUUAGUCCUGAAAAAUACCUGCUCAGGUGACAAUCAACUUUGCUUUCUUUAAAAAAAAAAAAAAACUAGGCAAACAAAAAAAAAUCUUUAUGAUGUGCUCUUAGGUAUAAAAGUUGAGUAACAAAUACUCAUUUUGCAUUUACUCAAAUUGGAGAAAAUCUAACAUCAAACAAACAGCUUUAGGGGCCUGAGUUGAAAACUUUUGGGGCUGAAUGGAAUCAGUUCCUCAAAAUAACUGCAAGUAUGUAAUAUGUAGCACAUGAUCUAAAAUUUUCACUAGGAGAGCCUUAAAGAGCUAUCUUAUUUUACCUCUUUCCUUGUUAGACUUGAUGUUUUAUUUCACAGAUUCAUGGACUAUUAAAAGCUAGAAAGAAUUCAGAAUUUUAGCCCAAUCUCUUAAAGCCAAAGAUACUGAGGCCCACAGCCUGGGAAGCCUGGCUUCCUCGUCUUCCCCCACUUGAUGUCAUCAGAACUGCCCCGAACCUCACCUCCAAAUUCUUUCUAGCAGAAGGAGCAGGUAAAAACCAAACCUGCAGAGAAUGAUUCUAUAACCCUAAAACAGGCUUGCAGCCAAACCAAAUCAGUGUCUCUGAUAAAACACAAAACACUAGCACAGAGAACUGAAGACUAAUAGGUAAGAUGAAAAUUUAAAUAUCUGACAAAAUUGGUUUUUUUUGCUUUUUAAUUUUUAAAUCCAAAAUAACAUUUUCAUAUGUAAUAUCUCAGAAUAAAAAAAAAUACUUGCCAUUUCAAUUGCACUCUGAAAGUGAAAAGUUAAAUCAACUAUAUAAGAUUCUAAGAGACUAAUUCAUUCACAUGAAGACUUUGUAAUGUUUAUUCUUUGGUCAAAAGUUAACUGAUGCACCACUUUUACUUUUCUACUAUAAUAAAUGGAGAAUACAUCCUCAUUAAAUUACAAUCACAUAAAGAACUAAUAUACAUUUGGGUUAAAACAUUCCAGACUAAAAAUACGUAAAAUUUCAAUGUCUGUUUAUUAAUCUUCACUAUGUCCUGGCUAGAAACCAAAAAAAAAAAAAAAAAAGCUCUGGAAAAAGAAUAUAUUCAGAUGAGCAGAGGUUGAAUAUAAGAAGUUGCACUGUCCUUAUAUCAGCUGGUAUAAAUAAUAUAUGUUUUACCUGAAUAUUUACUAUGUUUAUGGAGUAUGAAAUACUAUGAUUAAAUUAUUGAUGGAUUUUUUUGACAUGCCAAUAUGAAACACAUGCAUGUUUAAACAUGUUUAUAAUAAAGCAUGUUGUCCCAUUAUAUCAAUGUACAUUUGGCAUUUACAUUAGAAAUAGACGAGCAUCUGUAUUACAUUAUAACGCACAAGGGUUCCAGAGAGCCAUUUUCACUUGGGGGUUAGCUUCUAUUCAUUUACUUGAUCUUCUACAGAGAGCAGGAUGCAAAAUUAUUCCAAUAUGUAUCUACUCUAAGGAAUAUAUGCUGGUGGAAAGGCUUUGUUCUGCAUUAUGUUAGCACAAAUCACAGUGAGCAGAUCCAAAGACCUUUCUUCUCCUGGAAAAAAGAAACCUGAAAACACUCAGCAUUUUUGAGUACUUUCCUGUGUAUGUUUGUGUAUGUAUGCGUGUGUCUUUUUUCAAUCAAAAUGUUUACUCAUUUUUUUUCAAAAAGCAUUACAAACUCACUGUAGGAAAUUUGGGGGGAAAUCAAAAAAAAUACAAAGCAGAGAGAGAACAUCACCAAAUUCCAACAAUAAAGACAGCUACCAUUCGCAUCUUGGUUUUUUCGCUCUUUUUUGUUUCAGUGAAUUUCUUUUAAUAGCACAAAGAGGACUUCCUUGACUCCAAAGUCUUUAUGCUGUAAAUAGGAUACCAUUACUUGAUUCAUCAAUUAAUAACAAAUGUAAGUAAUAUUUAUUUUCUGCGGAGUUGAAUGUAGACAUGUUCUCCUUGAGAAACUGCAAAGAACCUAUCCUACUUUUUCCGGGAAAAGAGUUUUGUAAAGUAGGAACACGGUGGGAAGAAAGGCAGGAAGGAUGUUUGCAAG